AACUUCGCCGAGAGCUAGCAAUCCCAUAAACCGUGGCUCAGUUCAGAUCGUAGGCUGCAACUCGCCUACGUGAAGUAGGAAUCGCUAGUAAUCGCAGGUCAGCAUACUGCGGUGAAUACGUUCCCGGGCCUUGUACACACCGCCCGUCACACCAUGGAAGUUGGCCAUGCCCGAAGUCGUUACUCCAACCCUUGUGGAGGAGGACGCCGAAGGUGGGGCUAAUGACUGGGGUGAAGUCGUAACAAGGUAGCCGUACCGGAAGGUGCGGCUGGAUCACCUCCUAA
rnacentral:rRNA from 1 species